rnacentral:antisense_RNA from 1 species
CUUCAACGAACCCAGCCACAAAGGCGAACCCCCCGCACGAGAACGCCCAUACGUAGCCAGCAAAGCCUGCGCCUC